rnacentral:lncRNA from 10 species
AUUAACCUAAAGUGCUGCAGAGAUAAACUUAAAGCAGGAAGCAACAUACCAUGAAUGUACUGCAAGGGAACACAUUUGUGUCAUGUGAAGAGACAUGACAAAAACAGCCCUCCUUAAAUUAUUUGUGGCAAUAGUGAUCACAUUCAUUUUAAUUUUGCCGGAAUAUUUCAAGACACCGAAAGAAAGAACAUUGGAGCUAUCAUGUCUGGAAGUGUGUUUGCAAUCUAAUUUUACCUAUUCACUCUCCUCCUUAAAUUUUUCUUUUGUGACUUUUCUGCAACCAGUAAGGGAAACUCAGAUUAUCAUGAGAAUCUUUCUAAAUCCCUCCAAUUUUCGUAACUUCACCAGGACUUGCCAAGACAUCACAGGUGAAUUUAAAAUGUGCUCCUCGUGUUUGGUUUGUGAGUCUAAAGGAAACAUGGAUUUUAUUUCUCAGGAACAAACAUCAAAAGGUAAACACAAAGUGAAGAUGGAGUCUCGCUCUGUUGCCCAGGCUAGAGUGCAGUGGUGCAAUCUCAGCUCACUGCAACCUCCACCUCCCAGGUUCAAG